AUUACUUUAAGAUCUAUAAGCUUCGGUAUUUUUUAUAUUCUUUAGGUUUAUUGUAUCUUAUUAUUGUACGACUAUUGUUAUCAGUGCACGCUGUAACUGCCGGUAAAUUGAGUUACGCGAGAGCUGUGAAAUUUAAAGAAUAACUUUUAUAAUUUGAUUGUGUAAUUCUGUGGGUGGUACUUGUAAUAAUUAAUAAAAUAAAAUAAAGAACCGCAAGAAACUCAGCUGUUGCUCUUUUCAGAUAUUUAAUUUACUAUGAGUAUAAUUAUUUUGCCAUGUAUAAGUUAAUUGCUGGAAAUUCUAACAUAAAAUACCGGACCAUAAAACUUAAUUUUAUGCUCAUUUGUUUUAUCAAGCAAGCAAAUAGUAUAUAAGUUGACUCAAUUCCAUUUACUACAUUUCUAAAUUAAACCUAACAGUGAAUGUUUAAAACAGCUCCGUAUAGUUAGCUUUUGCUUAUGAUGUUGAUAGCAUUAUUGAUGAUUUCCCUGUUAGGGAGUUUUGCUUCGGAAGUAACAGUUACUGGUCAUCUAAUUCCCGGUGUUCAUGUGCCAUAUCGACGACUCAAUAAUGAUGUUUAUCCAGUACUACCACGCCAAGGAGAAUGCCCUGGUGGGACGUGGAAUCCAGUGCUUCACGAGUGUGGUCGUUAAGCCGUUUAAAUACCAAGCCCCUGCCAGACGCCUUUAAACUUUUAAACUUUAAGAGCGUCUGGCAUGUGGUUGCCAUAAUACUAAGUGUCUGCCAAUGCAUGAUGUGAUUUCUAAU